GAGAGGAACACAAGACAUUUGAUCAACAAAAAAAGGGGUAAAAUUAUGGCUGCCUCUCUACAAGCAGCUGCUACUCUUAUGCAACCGACAAAGGUUGGUGUUAGAAACAACCUGCAGUUGAGGUCUGCUCAAAGUGUGAGCAAAGCAUUUGGUGUUGAACAAGGUUCAGGCAGGCUUACUUGCUCUUUGCAAACUGAAAUCAAGGAAUUGGCUCAGAAAUGUACUGAUGCUGCCAAGAUUGCUGGUUUUGCUCUUGCCACCUCUGCCCUCGUCGUCUCGGUAAGUUGCUUUUCUAAUUCAAUGCUUGCCUGCUUCAUGUCUAUAUUUCCCAUGUAUCCAGUGCUGUUGCCUGCAUAAUACAGAGUCAUAUAAUUCAACUAGGAUCUUUCUAAACAAGUCCAUCAUAUUAUGUAUACAAUUCAACAUGCCAGAUAUUAAACAACUAACGAUUAGAAAUACAAGACAAACCAAUGAAAAAUGUCGUGAGAUCCCCCGCGCUGCAGGGGUGUAUCUGCUGACUAGUUUAGAUCACGAGGAGGCACAAAAGCAAGAAAGCCACUUUUAAGCUAUGAAUGGAUCAGUACUGUGAAUAGGAUAGGAUGAAAGAGGAAUUCCAUUCAUUAUAUGAACUGCCAUAUCCCUCUAUUGUGUAUGAAGUUUAUGGUUUCCUUUGGUGUCAAUCCAAUCAUCUAAAUUUAGGAUAAUAAGAAAGGCUAUAACUGGACUAGAGAUGAAUGCUAACUAACCAGUAUGACAUACCGAUAAUUCUAAAAGCAGGUAAAAUGUUCUUCAAGCUAGUCGGCCUCAUAUUCACUGUCAAUCACUUUCUUUGAAGUAACCAUAACUAGUAAACUACCAAAUAUCUUUAUCAGGAAUAGAGGGCCUUGAUAUCUUUGAGAGUACGUAAAAAUACUUCAGAAGGCUUCUUUACCAUUGCCACCUCCAAAACUAAGAUCAGACUAUCCAAUCUUUUGUCAAAAUUUCCUAGCUCAUUUCUGGAUGUUCAUGCUAUCAUCUGUAUUUCAGGACAAGCAUCAAUAGUUCUAUAAAGAUGAACUAGUUUGCAGAUUCUGUCAUACAUACUGGUAUAUAUAAAAUCUAACUUCCAGACAUACUUUUAUUUGGUAUGAUGAUGACAUGAGUUGAGCUUAUAUGGAGAAGCAUAGUCAAUGAGAAUUCAUAUAGCCGACCCCAACUUUUGGACUGAGGUGUAGUAGUUGUUGUUCUUGUUUCUCAUGCAAAAAUUUCUAAUGUUUGUACACUUGGAUACACAGGGAGCAAAUGCGGAAGGAGUUCCAAAACGUUUAACCUAUGAUGAAAUCCAAAGUAAGACAUAUAUGGAAGUAAAGGGAACUGGAACUGCUAACCAAUGUCCUACCAUUGAAGGAGGUGUUGGCAGCUUUGCCUUCAAACCAGGCAAAUACACUGCCAAGAAAUUCUGCCUAGAGCCCACAUCAUUCACAGUCAAGGCAGAGGGUGUCAGCAAGAACUCAGCCCCAGACUUCCAAAAAACCAAGCUCAUGACACGCUUAACCUACACUCUUGAUGAGAUUGAGGGACCAUUUGAAGUGUCUCCGGAUGGCACUGUUAAGUUUGAGGAGAAGGAUGGAAUUGAUUAUGCUGCUGUUACAGUUCAGCUUCCUGGUGGUGAGCGUGUGCCCUUCCUCUUCACUAUCAAACAGCUUGUGGCAAGCGGCAAGCCAGAAAGCUUUAGUGGUGAGUUCCUUGUGCCAUCAUACAGAGGUUCAUCCUUCCUUGACCCAAAGGGACGAGGUGGAUCUACUGGCUAUGACAACGCUGUUGCAUUGCCUGCUGGAGGGAGAGGAGACGAGGAGGAGCUUCAGAAGGAGAACGUAAAGAACACUGCAUCUUUAACAGGAAAGAUCACCUUGAGUGUUACCCAGAGCAAGCCAGAGACUGGUGAGGUCAUUGGAGUAUUUGAGAGCAUCCAGCCAUCUGAUACUGAU
rnacentral:lncRNA from 1 species